CGCCAUUCGGGUGGUGAAUCCUCACCAAGCUCGCGCCAUCCAUUGCCACCUUGGCUAUCGGAUCAUGGCAUAGCCGCCUUGGAUUUCGGCGUGUCGUUGCCACGAGACGCUGCCAUGUCGUCUCCACUGCAUGUCCAGAGAGUCAGAAACAAGGGUGCUGAAGCAAACAGGAAAGCACGAGAAGAGACGAUGAUGCCAACACUCCAGCUGAACUCCAUCUGACGCCAUGAAUUGGUGUGACAAGACAGCGCUGGACAAUGUAGGACGAGAAGGGCAUCGGCUUGAGCACAAGCAAGCUCAGCUCGGAUGUUUUGCUAGUGACAAGGUAAAAGUCAUUUCUUCAUUGGCCAUUACUACUACACGAUCACCAGCUCUCUUUCCUUGGAUACAUAUCUAAUCUGUUUCUUUACAUUAGUACUUGGCACUUUAGGUGGUGCUUAGAUUGUUCUGCAACAAAUCAAUUGAGUUUAGUGAGUACUAACAGGUCACAAAUUUGUAAGCAACUUGAGGUGUGUUCUGCUUUAUGCUUUUUUUGCAGUAUUUCUGCCUUCAAUCUGUGCAACGAUGAAAAACUACAAUAAACCAAGCCAUAGAAACAGAACGAUGUUCUAUGAUGGGCUGUCUCCACCUCAGUUCCAGCAGAGGAAUAAUAGUGAUACAUGAAUCUGCUUAAACUUCUUUUGUUACUUGCGCCAUAUCAGACUGUAUACAUUGCCAUUGCAACAAUGUGCAAAUUGAACUACCCUUUUUUUUUCUAUAAAUGGAUGUGGUAAGACAAGGC